AUCAGCGCCGCGCGCCGCCCCGGCCGGAGCCGUUGGUGCAGGGACGCCGGCGACGGUUGCCAGGGCCGCAGUGGCCGCGGCUGCAGCGGCUGCUGUUGCUUGCUGCGGUGGGCAGAGUGGGAACGCCGCUCUGGGACGUCCCUGGGAGCCGCGUCCAAAAGCCCGCGAGCCCGGGGCGACGGCGGGUCGCGCCCCGGACACUCGUGUCGUGGAGCCGGUCUCACCGGUGGGUUGAGGACUCUCUGCCCUGGUCUCGCUCUUGUCACGUUUUCCUUUUCUGCAGAGUCGCCCCCAGCUCGCCAUCAGGACAGUCAGAUGAUGCUAUCUAUCAUUGGUUAUUUCACAGCACCUCCAUUUUCAUAGAGCAUCUUCCUGAGACAAACUUGGAAAGCGCCGUGACCACAAAACAUUAUGCAGAGUUCAAAGGGACGUUGGAUACAGAAUAAGAAUUCUGGGAGAUUAAAAUUCAGGAGUUCAGUUUUGCCUGGAAAACAAGACAAGGCAACUCUCCACCCUGCGCCAGUAUUCACACUUCUAAUUGAGUUACAAGAUUUUUCUUCUUUUGACCUCAGAAGGCACUUGGAAACUUUGGGGGAAAUUUCACCACAUCUUUUAACUUUUGCUUAUGAUUAGCAGGAGAGAUACAUUAGAACCUAGAGAAGUAUCUCAGCCUCCAGUAUGAGUAACCUUGCCAUAAACCCACCCUAAGGUAUCCUGUCCAGGCUUUGGGGGUCACACUUCAUUGUCAGUGUGAUUCAUGUCCACAGUUUUACCAUCACAGCUGGCCAUAUUUUUAGCAGACAGUCUUAAACUUUUUGCUGAGGGUGUGUGUGGGGGAUGGGGGUGUUGGUUGGUUGGUUGGGUUUUUUGUUUUGUUGCAGAGUGUUUUUCAUAUUUUUCUGUUAGGAAAUUCUACAUUGCCAUUAAGAAAUGUUUCCCUAGUUUAGUACUACAUAGUAGCUGCUGCUUCUCGGCAAUGCCAGCUUUGAUGGCGGCUUGGGUAUUAUUUUGAUUUUUUGUGUCUUGAUCUUUGCACAUGAACCAUGCCAUUAUUAGUUUCUACUAGAGAUAGUUCUGUGUGUGGUACGUGUGCCUGCUCAUGUGUGCAUGUCUGCACAUAUGUGCACAUGGGUGUAGAGGACAGCAAUUGACUUUGGACAUUUUCAUUCAUCAGUUCUCCAGCUUGUGUUUUGGAACAAAGCCUCUCACUGAACCUGUAAUUCAUCAGUUGAGAUGGCUGGCUGGCCAGGGAGUUCAGGGAUCUGCCUGUCUCUGCCCUCCCAGGCCUGGCCUAUCAUCAUCAGAUACGCACUUUAGGCUGAGGCCUCUAACCCCGUGCUGCAGGAAACAGUUUAUCCAGAGCUCCUAGUUGGAUCUUUCAUCUUCGUCAUCUACUUUCUCUUCUUCAGAAGUAUCAUUUCGUGACCCAAGCUUUUGUAGCUGCAUUUGUCUUCUUCAUGUUUUGUUCCAGUCCUGCUCUUCCUUUUUGUCAUCCUAGCAGGGCUCCCUUAAACCACCAUCUUUCUCAGAAGCGGCUCCUCCGUGAUCCCCAUGGGCCUAUCCUCUUGAGAACGCACUUUCUUAAGGCAAACUACAGUUCCUGUCACUCAGGGAGCUGUAGGCUGCAAGCGCUGCCCAUCAUUCUACUCCACUGUCUGUCAGAUUCUAUUUUCCUCGGGUUGUUUCUCUAGUAAGCCUAAGGGCUUACCUUGUAGGACCCAAAUCCUCCUUCCCGAUGAAAUUUAUAUAUAUUGGUAAUCAUUUAUAUCUCACUCUACAAUUUAUGAACGUGUACUCCCAGGCACAAUUUGGAAUCAAAAUAUUCCAAAGUUAAUCACCCAUGUGUUUUUCUCUGCCUAGAAGCCUUUUAAUUUCCUAUUGAUCUAGCUCAGUUACCACUGCCAAGAUGGGAAAUCCUUGACUGCUCAAACCUGGACCCAGAGUUCAAAAUGCCUAAACAGUAGCCAUAAGUUAGAGUCUAAUGGGACUCUUGUUGUCCCUAGCAGAAAUGCAUCCGAAUUGGAAGCCAGGACUUUCACACUUCCAAAGUGUAGCGUUGUGGGAACAGGAAAUAGUGUCCUCUAACAAGUCAGUAGAACUAAUGUUCAGUGGGAUCACUUCCGAUUCCUCUGCUUGGUUCUUGGAACCAUGUGUUGUUGUUCUUAGUAGGGACAAUGCCUUUAGAGGUCUCCAAGUUAGUGUAUGUACAGUUUCCUUAUGGAAUCCUGCUUCUGAACUGGUACUUCAGCUAAACCAUUAUUACAUUGAAAGCAAAUGUUAGGAUAAAGAUUAAUUUUAGGGUUAAACGCAAGGUCAGGAACAACACUAAGGUAGGUAAUAAAAGGGCUUGUAGCUGGGUAUGAAAUAGCCAAGCUGACCAGAUAAGAGAACUUUUGGAAAAACAAAAUCUGUCUCUAGAUGUUUCAGCUGGCCCCAGGAGCCUCACCCUCCACCCUUGCAGGAGCAUGUGCAAGACAUCCUUGUAUUUCCUUAGUAAACAGCCAAACCCUACAGGUAGUUACACCUUCACAGGUAGUCGUGCAUCUAAUUGUAACAGACUGAAUUGUGGGUAAUGGCUUCUAAGAAAGCUUCCACCUAUUUUAGGAAGGAGACCUUCCCAGACUGCCCAGGGAUAGACAAGGGAAGGAAAGCUGGUGGACGAAGUCUAGAUGACACUGCCACGUGGCUCAGCCUGCAUUCUGCUCUUUGCCUUCUCACCUGCUGAAGUAAGCCUUGACAACCUGUUAGCUCCACCUGUGCCCCAAUGUGAGCCUCUUCCCUUGAGCACAAGAACCGAGUCUGCUCCUGUACUUGAAAUUGGAGGGAGUGUGGGAGGAGACGUCUCUCCUCAUUCCUAACACCUCCAGCAGGUUGCCUGGUGUUCUAUCAGGCUGGAUGACCCUAAUGAUUCCCCAGUUGGGAGUUCACGUAUUAUCUUUUUCCUGGGAAGUUUGUCCCCUGAGUGGAUGCACCAUUGAAUUGGAGCCCAUGCCUGUGGAUCAGGCCUUCUUUAAGGCCCUAGGUGUUUGGUUAAGGCCCUGCAAGACAAAAAUAGCAAAUCCACACCCAGAAUUAGUUUAUCCCUGUCAAAAUGGACCACUAGCCACUCCAAAAUGGGAAGAGUCCAUGUUAUUGACCUGCUACCAGGUGUCUGAUUUGUCUCAAGUAUUAUGCCAUACUGGGCACACAAUGUAGGUCCUGUUGCUAGUGGGUUCUUCAGAAACAGAUGUAGGUGUGGGCUGGCUUUUGUAACUGGGAGGUUAUGUUGUGGCUCGUGUUUAGCUCACAUAACUGUUCACACCACUGUAGUGACAGUUGUAGAGCAGGUCUUGACGAAAGCUUGCUUAACACCAACAGACAAUCCCGUGUCGGUUUGAUUUUUCUCUUCCUCUUUCACCAUGGGUGUUCUAGUCAGAAUGAACAUGUCAUUAGCCACUAAGCAAAACAGGCCCCUUUAGGGACAAAAUCCUUUAUGUUAAUGCACCUUUGGGGUAUCCUCUCCUUACCUGCAGCUAAAAUUUUUAGUGUAAGCAGAGCAUUCCUUGAGGCAUGUCUGUUGAUUAGUUUGAGCUCAGCAUGCUCCAGAAUGUGUCUACUAUAUCUUCUUUUCAAAUUACGAUCUUUAACUGAGCUUGCUCAGGAAUGUGCUCCUUUUUCUUUCUUAAUAAUACAAAAAUAAUACUGCUAUGUAAGAAAAUUUGGCCAGCAAGUAGAUGAUGUUUAUAAAAAGGAAGUGCCUGAAAAUUAAACAGGCCUCCUGAGUUUUGCUGGAGGAUUGACUGGGAAGGUUGCCGUGUGCACAGGAGGCAUGUAAACUGUUGCUGGGCAUCUUAGCCUUGGCUUCCUGUAAGGUCAAGCAAUUAGGCUUCUGAAGAUUGCAACACAUUUGGAAUAGUGUGAGUGGUAAAGUCGCAGGCACGCCCUGGUGUAUUAUAACAAAAUAACAACCCUGCCUGAAUCCUUUUGUGUUGACCCAGCUUCAAUCUUCAGCCUCGGUCACAUCCCGUGUUUAAGGUCCAAUCGAGAGGAGGGGGUGUCCAGGCUGUCUCUUGGAGGAAGCACCCAUGGAAUCGAAAGGAUUGGAGGGAGAAGGGGGAGAGAUAGUGGCAUUGUCACCGAAACUGCUGCUUCGCAUUGGAUAAAUCGGAGGAGGAGGAGCCUCAAUCGGCAUGGGCGGUGACUGGUCUUGAGUAGGGGACUCUAGUAUGUGUGGUCAAGGGUUCAUGGCUGAGAGCUGUAGGGGAAUGUUGUUCUUGGGCUCUGCCCCUGACCUUGGAGAGCUGGGGACUGAUUGGAAUUCGAGUGUCUGUCGAGGAAAUCUCCCAUAGUUAGUUGUCCUUUAGUGGGGAGCGAGGUGGUUCCGAAGUACGCCUGGUCUGGGCUGACUAAUGGCUGAGUUGCAGAGUCUGUAAGAUCUUGGGUGAGAAGUUGGGUUUAGAUCUUUCCUGGGGCAAGUGCCCUUCAUCUUCAUCACUUUCAGAUCCGGCAUCCAAAAUCUGACGAAGGGAACUUUGAUCAUUGUGAUCCAUCUCUUGAUCCUCGACAUCUUCAGAAGCUCAUUCUGUAAUCCCUGUGCUCCUUUGAGGCUGAACAGUGGCCAGAGCAACCCAAGGGGCUUGAAGGGGUGCUGAGGCUGCAAGACUCCCUGAGCUCAACAUGACCCUUUGAUUAUUGCUGCUUAUAGCUGCAGCUAAUUGUUGAAGCUUCUCACGUUUUUGUGGCAAGGAUGAUUUCAGCUUGUUGGUCCCCAAUCUCAUGUUUCUUCUUGUGAAAAAUCAAGCAAAAUCUGGGCUUCAGCGUGGUCUAAACCUAAUUGAUAGAUUUCUUGCUCCUCAACGUGCUCUUGCAUCCUACGUUCAGCUUCAGUAGCUACUUGUCCUAGUUGCUGGUACUGCUCACCUACUGGGAUGCCUGCCAAUGUUCCACCAGGUGCUGUUGCUACUCUCAGGGCAGCUGCAGACAACUGCAGAAAUGACCCAUCUUCUAAGUUAUUUACCCCCUCCAAGCAAAUGGUGCAUAUUCAUGAUGGCAAGCCAAACCUUUCACAGCAAGCCUAAAGCUCUCAACCUCAUCUCGCACUUUUACAGAGGUUGAAGUAAGAUGCGAUCCCCUUCCUUUCCAAGGAUAUGAUCUCAGAAAAUUUUGCCUGAUAAGCUGUUUGUUAUAAUGUCAUCAGCAUUGUGCCCAGCCUCUAAAUUGAACCCUUGUUGAAUAAAUAGAAAUGUAAAUGUAAAACUCACUCUAAUGAUCCCCAAAGCAGUUAUCAUACAUCCUGGAGUCUGCCAGCUCUGUGGGUAUUGUGUGAGCCUUUGUUCAGCAUGGAUCACAAUUUGCCUCUGUACUUUCUCAAGGCAGGUCCUGUCCCUGACCACAAGUGUGGGGAGGCAAAGACUGCAAAAGGAAAGAAACUUCCCAACUCCUCAACGCUCUCCAAGAUUAUUCCUCAGUGCUACUAAAGCUUACCUUGUCCUUCCGCUGGGGCCUGUUAAUGCAAAGAACUCAUUGAGAUUAUUAUUUUUAUUAUCCAACACCUUCAGCAUUAGCCCAUGAGCCUCCAAGUAUCAGGGGGCUGCACUUGUCUCCAAUGCCUUCUGAUUUCCCUUGGAAGUGUGUUGAUACAUAGUGUCAUAAGACAACUAUCCAACAAAUCUUGAUCUGUCCCCGCCUCUACAGCAUGCAUGAUUUGCAAGCAAAGCUUGCUUGGUGCCGGGACACCCAGCGAGUAUAUUUUUCUAUUCCUAACUCGACAGGUUGGGUACCAUAGUUCAAAAUUCCAUGCAAUCCCAUAUCAUUUGGAAUGUUGGAGUACCGUUGAGAGGAGUUGUUGAUUGAAACUUUGCCAGUUUGAACGGGUAAUGGCUAGCCGGGCAGCAGAGGGUAUUGCUAAGACAAGUUGAUGCAAAAGUCAAUGUCAAUGUUUAUGCUCAUGAAGGAUUUAAUUUUCCCCCAGGAAUGUACUCCUUAACUGAGCAUGCUUAGUAUUGGACCACCCCUUACAUGAAUGUGUAUAGGCUCUCUGAAUAAAAUUCCCAUGCUGUCUUUGU